GAUACUAAUGGUUUCUCUCUCUGUGUCUGCUGUCUGCCGGCCUAGUGUCUCGUGCUACAGAGAGAAAUAGACGAUCUCAAAGAGCAGCUUGCGGCCAUGCGGUCCCUGACUGACAAGUUCCAGAGCCUUUGAAGUUGAGCCCAGCAUCUCUGCGCAGGAGGAGCAUCUGGUGCCUUUGGAGCCAGGGAGCUGUGGCCAAGCCGCUUCCCUCCUGUUCGACCUCGGCCAAGACUUCCUCUCCCUGUUCUUUUGCCCCCUCCCCAGCCCCAUUCA